GACGAACGCUGGCGGCGUGCUUAACACAUGCAAGUCGAACGGAAAGGCCCUGCUUGCUGGGUACUCGAGUGGCGAACGGGUGAGUAACACGUGGGUGAUCUGCCCUGCACUUCGGGAUAAGCCUGGGAAACUGGGUCUAAUACCGGUUAGUAGCCAGGUUGAGUGUGAUGGUUGGUAGGAUUUUUCGGUGUAGGAUGAGCUUGCGGCCUAUCAGCUUGUUGGUGGGGUAAUGGCCUACCAAGGCGGCGACGGGUAGCUGGCCUGAGAGGGUGGUCGGCCACAUUGGGACUGAGAUGCGGCCCAGGCGCCGACGGGAGGCAGCAGUGGGGAAGAUUGCUCAAGGGGCGCAAGCCGGAUGCAGCGACGCCGCGUGGGGGAGGACGGCCUUCGGGUUGAAAACGCCUUUCGCUAGGGACGAAGCUUUUUGUGACGGUACCUAGAUAAGAAGCACCGGCUAACUACGUG
rnacentral:rRNA from 1 species